rnacentral:sRNA from 1 species
GCUGGGUGCAGUGGCGCACCCCUGUGAUCCUAGUGGCUCCGGAGGCUGAGGCAGGAGGAUCACAAGUUCAAAGCCAGUCUCAGCAAAAGCAAGGUGCUAAGCAACUCAGUGAGACCCUGUCUCUA